rnacentral:miRNA from 1 species
AAGUGUACCCGGAUCUGAUAUCC